rnacentral:rRNA from 1 species
UAAGGCCUACGGGAGGCAGCAGUGGGGGAUAUUGCACAAUGGGGGAAACCCUGAUGCAGCGACGCCGCGUGUGGGAAGACGGUCCUCUGGAUUGUAAACCACUGUCCCCAGGGACGAAGAUGACGGUACCUGGGGAGGAAGCUCCGGCUAACUACGUGCCAGCAGCCGCGGAAAUACGUAGGGAGCAAGCGUUGUCCGGAAUUACUGGGUGUAAAGGGAGCGUAGGCGGGAUGGCAAGUUGGGUGUUAAAUCUACCGGCUCAACUGAUGGCCGCACUCAAAACUGCUAUUCUUGAGCGAAGUGUG